GCCCAGACUCCUACGGGAGGCAGCAGUGGGGAAUAUUGGGCAAUGGGCGCAAGCCUGACCCAGCAACGCCGCGUGAAGGAAGAAGGCUUUCGGGUUGUAAACUUCUUUUCUCAGGGACGAAGCAAGUGACGGUACCUGAGGAAUAAGCCACGGCUAACUACGUGCCAGCAGCCGCGGUAAUACGUAGGUGGCAAGCGUUAUCCGGAUUUACUGGGUGUAAAGGGCGUGUAGCCGGGCCGGCAAGUCAGAUGUGAAAUCCCAAGGCUCAACCUUGGAACUGCAUUUGAAACUGUAGUUCUUGAGUACUGGAGAGGCAGACGGAAUUCCUAGUGUAGCGGUGAAAUGCGUAGAUAUUAGGAGGAACACCAGUGGCGAAGGCGGUCUGCUGGACAGCAACUGACGCUGAGGCGCGAAAGCGUGGGGAGCAAACAGGAUUAGAUACCCCAGUAC
rnacentral:rRNA from 1 species